CAAGAGCGAAACUCCGUCUCACAAAAAAAAAAAAAAAAAAAAACAGAAUAUAAUAAAAUUCAAAUGACACAGAGCAAUAGGUAAGAGUAUAGCAAAAAUGAGUGGUAAUAGAGACAAGUUCACUAGAAUUUCUUCUAUAAAUGAAUGGGAAAAAACCACAAGAUGAGGAUCUGAUGAUAUAAUAUGACAGGAUCUGCAUGACAAUCACCCAACUAUUUUAUAAUGAAUGCAGAAGAAUAUAAUAUGAAUUUCCUUAACCAGACUGUGAUUUCACUAAUCUUAGUCAAUUUCAGCUUAGACAUUCUCAAAUUUUUAAUUUAGAGAUAUUGUUUUUAAUAUACUUUUCAAAGAAUUAGAUUUGCAAUUUAUCUUGUUUACAACAUAUUUGUCUUAUUAUCUGCUUAAGUUGGCCAACGCGUCUCUUCAUAGUUUCUUUGUAAAGUCAUCACUUGACAAUGGUAAGCACUACGUAAAAGUUGUUUUUUGUAGUAACCUCAUCAGAAAUGGAAAGAUCAUAGUGAAUGGUGAUUCUUUGCCUAUUAGUGCUUCAGGGUUCAGAAGGCCAUGUUCACCCUAUCUUAUCCUAUUUAGAGAUUGUAAAAAGGUAAAAGAGAU